rnacentral:rRNA from 1 species
AUUGAACGCUGGCGGCAGGCUUAACACAUGCAAGUCGAACGAGUGGCGGACGGGUGAGUAAUGGCUGGGAAACUGCCCGAUGGAGGGGGAUAACUACUGGAAACGGUAGCUAAUACCGCAUACCAUCGGAUGUGCCCAAAUGGGAUUAGCUAGUAGGUGUGGUAAAGGCUCACCUAGGCGACGAUCCCUAGCUGGUCUGAGAGGAUGACCAGCCACCCUGGAACUGAUACACGGGCCAGACUCCUACGGGAGGCAGCAGUGGGGAAUAUUGCGCAAUGGGGGCAAGCCUUAUGCAGCCAGGCCGCGUGUAUGAAGAAGGCCUUCGGGUUUUAAAGUACUUUCAGCUAGGAGGCGUUACUCGCAGAAGAAGCAACGGCUAACUCCGUGCCAGCAGCCGCGGUAAUUC